UGGGGGAAUUUUCCGCAAUGGGCGAAAGCCUGACGGAGCAAUACCGCGUGAGGGAGGAAGGCUCUUGGGUUGUAAACCUCUUUUCUCAGGGAAUAAGAAAGUGAAGGUACCUGAGGAAUCAGCAUCGGCUAACUCCGUGCCAGCAGCCGCGGUAAUACGGAGGAUGCAAGCGUUAUCCGGAAUGAUUGGGCGUAAAGCGUCCGCAGGUGGUUGCUCAAGUCUGCUGUCAAAGAGUCUGGCUUAACCAGAUAAAGGCAGUGGAAACUGAGAGACUAGAGUGCGGUAGGGGCAGAGGGAAUUCCUGGUGUAGCGGUGAAAUGCGUAGAGAUCAGGAAGAACACCGGUGGCGAAAGCGCUCUGCUGGACCGCAACUGACACUGAGGGGAACGGA
rnacentral:rRNA from 1 species